GAGUUUUUGUGUGAAUUACUGCAUUGUCUAUUAUCUAAUUAGAACAUACGCACAGGGAUGGAGAGAUGGCUCAGCCAUUAAAGGCUAGGCUCACAACCAAAAAUAUA
rnacentral:miRNA from 1 species